AACAACACCAGAGCCCUGUGCUUUCAGAUCAACUGUUCAACAUCCUGUUUCCCACACUGAUGAUCCAGAUGACUCUGGGAAAUCCACAAGCAAAAUGUGAGGCUCUACCCUUCUCCUAUUGUACGGUAGUUCUCCAGCUAUUGAAAUUAAGAGGCAAGCUGCCUCCAAUCUGGAUAGCCCCAUAGCUAUCAUGACUAGUAGCCAUUGACAGCUUUUCUUCGGUGCAUUUGCCUAAUUCCAUUUUAACACUGACUAAACUGGCACCCAUCACCAUGUCUUAUGCUAGCAAAAUCCAUAACCACUCCCUUUGGUUUGUCCUGAAUCUUCAACCAUUUUAUUUUAAAGUGUAUGUCUUGGGGGGGGCAGAAGGAGACCAUGGUUCCACUAGCACAUGGGUAGGCAAACUAAGGCCCGUGGGCCGGAUGCAGCCCAAUCACCUCCUAAAUCUGGCUCGUGGACGGUCUGGGAAUCAGCGUGUUUUUACAUGAGUAGAAUGUGUGCUUUUAUUUAAAAUGCAUCUCUGGGUUAUUUGUGGGGCAUAGGAAUUUGUUCAUUAUUUUUUUUCAAAAUAUAGUCCGGCCCCCCGCAAGGUCUGAGGGACAGUGGACUGGCCUCCUGCUGAAAAAGUUUGCUGACCCCUGCAGAGGUUCCGGGUGUUGCAAUGCCACUUCCUCAGAUUGGAGAAGUCCUGGCAGAAUGAGAUUCUCCUACACUGAAGCUUCUGACGCAGUGGGGAUUUCCCAGGCCACCUCUCAGAGCAAGUCCCUCUUUUCAUCUCCAGUUCCAGUUAACAAUUGAUAAGCUCCUUUGUUCUUUGGCUCCUGACCUGCUUUCUUAAGUGUUUGACCAAUAUGUGAGUUUCAAGGGGUUUGCGCUAGAAUCUCUAAGGAAGGGUGCUGAAAUGUGGUAAAUAUAUUGUAAUUGAAUACGGAAAUAAAAAGACUGGUAAGACUGUUGGUUGUAAGAAUAAAAUUAAGGUUUAUUACUCAAAGUAAACAAAGGCAUUCUGAGUGCAGGGUUUACUGUGGACUGUAUGGGGCCAAGAUGUUCACACUAACACAUGCUAACUCAUACUGACUAGCUGUAGCUAAUUAAACUUUGAGAAGCUGCGGGAGUGAAGAAAAAGUCUGAAGGACAUAAUUACUUUACCAGCAAGUAGUACCUAAAAGAGAAGGAAUCAGUGAGGAGGCAGAACUUUCUGUCUAUCCCCCACCUUCACACCCCCACCUUCACACUCACACACACACACACACACACACACACACACACUGGUUCAGGUAAUUAAUUGCAAAUGUUAUUGCUUCACUCCCCAAAAAGGGGAAUCAGGCCAUGAGGUCAUGAUACCACCCUAAGGUGCUGGCCCACCCGUGAGGCAAGAUGAGGUGACCACCUCAGGUAGCAGGAUCCACAGGGACAGAAGAUCCCAAUGUAGAUCUUUAUUCCCCCCAUGUUCCUGAUGUAGGUCUUCACUCACCCCUUCUUCCCUGGCAGAAAGUGAGGAACCAUUUUGUGGUUCGCCUCAGUCACCAAAAUGUCUUGGGCCAGCCCUGCAUUUGGAUUGCCUUCUCCAUGAAUAAUAAGUCAGGCAGAAUCCUAGAAAUGAAGGCCUGGGAGAGGCUUGCCUUUCAGUGUACCUCUCUACCAAGAGGCAGGACUACUGACUCUCCCUGCUAGUACAUCUCAAAGAGCAGAGGAGAGGACACGGGGGAGGGGGGAGUCCUUAUAGAGUGAAUGGCUUAAGAUUGUUCAUGAAGGUAAGGCUGUGGUUGCAGAUAUCAGAAACGGCUGCUAAUUCUUUUGCCUUGGAAAUGUAGCACUGCAUUUUUCCACAAGUAGUAUUUUUCCUGUAGUUUACAUACUGUUAAUUUCUACUUGAGUCCCACUGCUUUUAAACAAGAAAACAAGAUUCAUGGGCCUAGGUCAUGGCUCUGAAGUCAAUCAUAGGUAAGAUAUAAUAACAACCAGACAUAGCUGGAGGCAUUAAAAGUAGCUCAGCAGGUUUUCUGAAAGAUAUACCACUGCUUGAAUGUACAUGAUGAUUUAUGUCAACGUGAACUGUGACUGCCUUUGCAGUUUUGUCCAGUUUAAUCCAGGAUGACAGUUCAGAUAUUUCUUCAGAAACGUCCGGAAGAACAACUAUUACUGACUGAUCUUAUUUCUUAGAGAACUUAUUUGUGUUCCUUAGGUGAUUCUAUUUUUUUUUUUUUUUACUACAUUUCUGGUUGAUGGGAUGGACUUACAUGCUCUUUUACUUUUUUGGUUGUGCGGUGAAAGUAAGAGAUUAGUAGAUUCUUGUAGAUUUGUGAUUUUAACUGAUUAGUCAGCAAACCAAAAGAAAACAUUUUGAUUACUUAAGUAUUUUUUUUAAAAAAUAUGACAAAUGUUUAAAAUGAUGGCCUUCUCCCACACAUAUAGGAACACAGGAAGCUGCCUUAGAGUGAGUUGGGUCUUUGGUUCAGCUAACUCAGUUUUCUACUCUACACUGACUGGCAGCCACACUCCAUGCUUUCAGGCAGGAGUCUUUCCCUGCCCCAUCUGGAGAUACAACACAGGGAUGAAGGCUACUUCUAAAAUGAUUCCACCAUGUGGCUGCAAGCACCCUUGCAAGAUCACACAGCCCAUUGAGUUUAAUGAGUUCUACUACUGAGUAACUUCUGAGUAAAGGUGCCUUCUAGUUUGCAGCAAGGGACACGGGUGGCACUGUGGUCUAAACCACUGAGCCUCUUGGGCUUGCCGAUCAGAAGGUCGGCGGUUCGAAUCCCCGUGACGGGGUGAGCUCCCGUUGCUCAGUCCCAGCUCCUGCCAACCUAGCAGUUCGAAAGCACGCCAAAAAGUGCAAGUAGAUAAAUAGGUACUGCUGUGGUGGGAAGGUAAACAGUGUUUCCGUGCGCAGUAUUGGCCCUAGGGUUGAGGGCCCCUGAGCCCCUUAAAGGUCUGAAAGCAACUUGGACAUAAAUUUACCCUUUAUUCUUUACAUGAAUAGAACAGCAUUUAAUGUGAUUGGCUAUAGACCACAGCAGAAUGAUUAUAUACCCAAAGUUGCAAUGAAAGCAUAGAUAAAUGUAUCGUAGUACAUUCCUUGUGGUCAAUUUUUAUUACAACUGGAAUGGAGACUAAUGUAUUAAUAGUCAACACACUGCAAAUACACGAAUGCAAGUCAUAAACAAAACUGAAACAAGCCAUUACCUCUCCUAUGUAAACAGAAAUAGCAAAACAACAAUACAAAACCCUAAAAAAUUGCUAUCAUGUACAGGAAAAAAGGCAUAAGGACAGCUCCCGACCAAGGAAGUUGGUGUGGAUGGACCUGUCUUAAAUGGGGAAAGGACUUCUAUCUGUUUUUGUAGGGAAGGGCUUGUUUGCUUGCAAUCCUACUGAGUUAAAGAUAAGGCAGUCUGAGAAUGACUGACUUUAAAAGCAGCAAGCAGACUUUAGUACAAGACUCCGUCCUCUAAAUUGUGGGGUGCCAGGUCAUUGCUCAAUUUGCCCCAUCCUUAAAGUUGCCAUAAGGGGUUUUAAUAAGGGGUGGUUCUUUAUUGAUUGGUUGGCACUGCCUGCUUGGUUAGUGGUGAAUGAUUUUGGCAACUUGACUAUGUUUAGCUAGAUAUUCUAUAGUGGAUUAGAUAGGGCCAUUAUUAUACACUCUAUUGUUUCUGGUUUGCCGUUGGAUUUUUUGGCACUCUGGAUAAUGUCUGACAAUAUAUUCAAUAUUGAAUAAGAUAGGGCAGCUAUUCUACUGUUUCUGGUUUAUCUUUGCAUUUUUGCCAGCUGAUUAUGUCUAACAAAAUAUUCUUUGCUGGAUAAGAUAGGGCAACUGCAAUGCAGUCUAUUCUUUCUAGUUCUUUGUAUUUCCUACAAGUGUUGGUGUCCACCUUUGACUUCUGACUUGCUCAAAAACAAAUCAAGCUGCUACAUGUGUUCCCGCAGUGUUUGAUGGAACACUUGUUGCAUGUCAAAGCUGCCUGCAAUGCCAGACAUUACCGUGGGCUAGGAUGAAGAGAUGGAUGUAAAGUUGGGCAAGCUUAAAGGGGAUAUUGCCAGUGGGUUUGUGUUUUUAUAUGGGAAUGGAGCUGUAAGUUGGACUAGUCAUAAACAAAAUUCAGUAGCUAACUCUUCAACAGAAGCAGAGUAUGUCUCUGCUGCAGAAGCAGGGAAAGAAGCACAAUGGCUUAACCAGAUUUGAGAGGAUCUGGGAAUGCCGGAUUCUAAACCCCUUAAGCUUAUGGAAGACAAUCAGAGUUGUCUGAAAUUGGUGCAAUCAGAGAAGAUAAAUACACAUUCUAAGCAAGCAGACAAAAUGUUACACAAUAAGCGAUUUGAGCCAGAAGGGAUUUAUUGAAAUGCAGUAUUGUCCAACAAUGGAAAUGACAGCUGAUAUUUUAACAAAGCCUUUGUCAAAAGAAAGUUUUGAGAAGUUACGUGCUAAAUUAAAUUUGAUUAAUUCAAAUUAGGACAUGGGUGGCGCUGUGGUUUAAACCACUGUGCCACUUGGACUUGCUGAUCAGAAGGUUGGUGUUUCGAGGCCCCACGACAGGGUGAGCUCCCGUUGUUCGGUCCCAGCUUCUGGCAACCUAGAAUUCGGAAGUAUGCAGUGCAAGUAGAUAAAUAGGUACCGCUCCGGUGGGAAGGUAAAUGGUGUUUCCGUGCACUGCUCUGGCUUCGCCAGAAGUGGCUUAGUCCUGCUGGCCACAUGAACCGGAAAAACUGUCUGCAGAAGCGGACAAACACCAGCUCCCUCGGUCUUUAGAGCGAAAUGAGCGCCACAACCCCAGAGUCGUUCAUGACUGGACUUAACUGUCAGGGGUACCUUUACCUUUACUUUUUUAAGCAAGCAGACAAAAUGUUACACAAUAAGAGAUUUGAGCCAGAAGGGAUUUAUUGAAAUGCAGCAUUGUCCAACAAUGGAAAUGACAGCUGAUAUUUUAACAAAGCCUUUGUCAAAAGAAAGUUUUGAGAAGUUACGUGCUAAAUUAAAUUUGAUUAAUUCAAAUUAGGCACAGUGAGAAGGGAAUUGUAAGAAAAACACUAAUUUGAUCAGUAAAAUGUCUGGCAUCUGGUAGCUGGGGCUUUUGUGUUGUGCUCUGGAAUUGGCCUCUCCCUUUGGGUGUUCAGUUCAGUUACAGAGACCAGCAGUCAUUCUUGCCACAUUCUUGCCUCUUGAUGUUGUUUUCGUUUUCCUCAGAUAAUAUGUUAUUGUGUUACAAUCAGGGGUGCCAAUUUGGGUCCCAGGUUAUGGGUGCCCAAUGGCACCUACGACAUAACAUGAUGUCAUGACGUUGUGACAUCAUUACGUCAAGUUACAUCAACAUCAUGCAGCAGCACUUCUGAGGCCUGGCAGGACCUCCGACACAGCUUUUGGUAGAAACUGGAAGUUGCACUGGAGCCUGCAUUGUGGGUGCUGAGCAUCCACAAAAAAAUAAUAAUUGUGGGUGUCCAGGCCCCCAGGGCCCCCUAUCAUUGACACCUAUGGUUACAAUUUUCUUUAUUAUUAAAGUUUUGUUUGACAUGUUAUGUGAGCUGCUUACUUUGCUAAAAGAAAAGGAAUUCUGCUGAAGAAUGGUGGAAUAUCCUUAACUGGGUGAGUGAGGGGAUAUUCCCAGUCUGACAGGAGGAUUGAUUUUUUAAUCACCCCCCUCAUCCACAACAGUUCUUGCAUUUGAAGUUGCAACUGCGCUGGUUACGAAGUUUCAGCCUUCCUGGGGUAAAUUCCCAUGGCCAUUUCCUCCUGCUUGAAGUCAAUAUGAGUUGAAUACUUAAUUGAGUUUGUUCAUUGUUGAACAAAACUUGCAAGUGGUUCAACAAUUACUCAGAUUGUGAGUCAAACUAUGUGGUUGCAACCUUUUCAGUAAAAGUUUGAUCCCAGAUCUCCCCAGCUUUAAUAUGACAUGUGAUAUCAGGAAAAGGGAUUCAAUAAAAAAUAUCAUUUGUAAAGUAUACACACACACUAAAAUUCUACCCACUUGUCUACAACUAUAUAAUUAAGAAGAUCUUGUUUCAUACAAGGGGUACAAACAACACAAAUAUGCCUAAUGAAUAAGAGAAAGAUUGUUCCAUAGUGGUAUGGAGUUAUGGAACACAGAAACCUGGUAGCCAUAGUUACCUUCUGCUGUUUGUCCAGCAGAGAGAUUGGAUGGACACACACACAACCCUAAUCUCUGAGUGGUGUGAUAUUGCAGAGAUUGUGGGUGCUUACCCAGGGUUUGUGUUUCCUUUGGAAUAAGGCACAGCAGAGAAUGUGUGUUGUAUACAUGGUUUAUUUACACACAUAUAUAACCUCAGCCUACAAUGGAGGGGUUCACAGCGUCAACGCCCCAAGAUGGUCUUAUUUCUCCCAUGGCCACAUCAUUGGAUUUAAUGGCCUGUCACCCAGGUGAUCACCUCAUCAGGAAGCCAACCAGGCUUAUAUUUUAACACUGGCUGGAUCCGGGGGUUAGAAGGGUCUUGGUGUACAGCCUACUGCCUCCCACAAAACCCCCCAUAAAACACACACACACACACACACACACACACACACACACACACAAUCUGUACUUUUUCCAAGGAAGUCAGGGUGACAUAGAUGGCUCACUCCUCCUUUUUUAUCCUCAAAACAAUUGUGUGAUGUAGGAUAGGCUGAGAAACUCAAAUAUGUAGGUUAAGCUGAAAUGUUGAUCCCAUAUCAUCCAGUGAGCUUCAUGACUGAAUUGGGAUUUGUAUUUUGGCCACUCUCUACCCUGGUGCAACCUUUGGCAACUUAGUGCUCUACAUAUGAUUUGGACUACAAUUCCCAUCACCCCUAGCCAGUAUGGGCAUGCUGAUAGGAGCUGUAGUUCAAGAUAUCUGGAAGGUGCCAGGUAGGGGAAAGCUGCUCUAGCAACUAGACCACACUAACUCUCAAAUGACAGUAGACUGAAAGUGAAAUCUGUUGCUUAUCAUCAAUCAUUAAACACUAAACCUUUGAAACAGUAACAUCAUUACAUCCUAUUAGCAUCUUUGGUUUUUCUGCACUGGAGACAAAGACCAAGGCUGCACUUAUCAACCCAGAACUUCCUUUCUCUGUAGAAACAUGGGAAAAGUCAACACACUAUGAUUGCAGGGUAAACACUUACUGGUAAUACAUAGGUUUCCUGAUAAUUCAUCUGAAAGCAUUUAAAUUAACUUAAAGGUAAAGUAAAGGUACCCCUGCCCGUAUGGGCCAGUCUUGACAAACUCUAGGGUUGUGCGCCCAUCUCACUUAAGAGGCCGGGGGCCAGCGCUGUCCGGAGACACUUCCGGGUCACGUGGCCAGCGUGACAAAGCUGCAUCUGGCGAGCCAGCGCACCACACAGAAACGCCGUUUACCUUCCCGCUAGUAAGCGGUCCCUAUUUAUCUACUUGCACCCGGAGGUGCUUUCGAACUGCUAGGUUGGCAGGCGCUGGGACCGAGCAAUGGGAGCGCACCCUGCCGCGGGGAUUCGAACCGCCGACCUUUCGAUCGGCAAGCCCUAGGCGCUGAGGCUUUUACCCACAGCGCCACCCGCGUCCCUUUAAAUUAACUUACUAUUUGCCAAAUGCUUAGAAUCUAUACUGUUAGCUCGCCAAGAUGUAUCACCCAGUUGCUGUAGGCAGAAAUGGCCAAUUUUGUACCUCAUCCCCGCCCCCAAAAGCCCCACUGCAGAGUGAAAGGGAGUAGCUACCACUACUACCCACACAAAUUGGUUCUCUGCUGCAUUCUGGCAAAUGGUUAUCAGGAAAAUAGCAAUAUCUAUUGGCGUUAUCUUAUGUGUGUUCACAAGCUACUAAUGGCUCAGCACAACUCUUCUUUGUAAGGAACAAUGACUGUUCAGCUUAUCAAUAUAUACAACAUGACCACCUGGGCUUCUGGUUUUGAGACUUAUCAAAGAUUACCCUAAAUAUAUAUUUGUACUAACAUACAGCUCUCAAAGCCAUAUUACACACACAGAGGAUGAAAGGGCUCACAAGCCCUAAGCCAACAAAUUGAGAGAAGUACAUUCAUGCUGUCAUUAAGAUAUAUGCACACAGAUUUGAUCCAAUAUUAGAGUGAGGCAUCCUGGGCAAAGUAGCUGGGAAAGCACCUGCACCACCACCAAUUUUUGUUGCUGGGAUUUCCUUUCCUCCCCCACUCUAAGCUUAAACAGCUCUUCAAGCUGUUGUGGCAAAUCACAAUGGUACUCUCCUUGAUGACUCAAAGUGCUGGGUUUGACCUAUAAAGCCUUAAAUGGCUGAGAACCACAAGAUUUCAAGGACUUCCUCUCCAUAUGAACUGACCUGCAAUCAUCAUCUGAGGCCCUUUUCAUCUGCCUCCCCCAUGAGAGGUCCAGAAGGUGGCAACACAAGAAUGGACCUUUUCUGUGAUGUCCCUCUGAUUGUGGAAUGUUCUCUCCAAGGAGGUAAUGCUUAAGGAACUGCAGUCUUUCACCUAAAAAAAAAAGAAAAAAAGAGAAAAGAACACCUCCCAAAAAGAACAACAACCCAGGUCUCCCUAGGGACUAUGCUGCUGGGAGGUUUGAACUGUUAUAGAACUGUUUUGAUAACUGGGCACUGUGGAUUGAAGUGGGGUAUCAUUGGAGGCACCAGUGAACUGGAGCACUGUGUGUUAACUGUACAUGUGCUCCUCUUGCAAUUUGUGAAAUGACAACUGCCAUUUUUCAAGGAGUCUUAUGAGUGAUGGCCAUUCCAUCUCCCUCCUCUGGUGAAACCAACAAUGAGCAUUUCCACAGAAUUCCCACAGUCAGUCUACCAGUAGCCUCAAAUGCUUCAGUGGGCAGUCACUUGGGGGGGUUGCCAAAUAUUUUCACUUGUCUGAAUCUCUGACAUUCUUUCCACCACCACCAUUUGUUUAGUCUGCACCUAGAAGGAAGUCUCAUCACAGUUCUGAUUCUCACUUUAUCUGGCAAGAAUCGUACGACAGAGGACCUCAGCUAGAGAAGAAUGAAGAUAAAUGAACAUUGGUGCCAAAAUUCCAGGACAUGCCCAUGUGUAUUGUAGGCUGCAUCAUAUCCUUGUUUAAUAUUGUUGUUAGUACUCAUGGCUUCACACGGGCACAACUUAGUAAAAACACCAUUCUGAUGUCAGACAUCAAGGGGAAUUUCCUUCUAUUACGUUCAGCAAAAAAGGAAAGGAGGUGGUCUUUCAUAACUGAUAUUAAUAACUAACUGAUGUUACAACACAAGGAAACAAUCCACAUUUGCAUGAGUCAUAAAUGAUCAGAAAGAGAGAGAAAUACGUCUGUCUGUCACAUCUAUUUGAAAUAUAAUCUGAUCUGCAAACAAAAGUGCUAAGAAUACCAAGAUGAGUCAAUUUAAGGCCAGAGCUUCUUUCAUUUUGAACUUUGUGUAUUUGGGAAAAUGCACAGAAAGAGCCUAGAAGUGCGUUGCUGAGUAUUCAUAUGAAGUUUGUAGUCAAAAGUCAUGGUCAUGAGUCUAGGUUCCACAAAUCCCCGUUCUGGGUGUAUGCACACUGCAAUACUCAAAUCUAUUGUUUGGAAUGGAAAGCCUGUUCAAUGCACACUUCUUAUACAGUGGUGCCUCGCAAGACGAAAUUAAUCCGUUCCGCGAGUCUCUUCGUCUUGCGGUUUUUUCGUCUUGCGAAGCACGGCUAUUAGCGGCUUAGCGGCUAUUAGCGGCUUAGCGGCUAUGCGGCUUAGCGGCUUAGUGGCUAUUAACGGCUUAGCGGCUUUAAGGAAAAGGAAACAAACUCGCAAGAACUCGCAAGACGUUUCGUCUUGCGAAGCAAGCCCAUAGGGAAAUUCAUCUUGCGGAACGACUCAAAAAACCGAAAACUCUUUCGUCUAGCGAGUUUUUCGUCUUGCAAGGCAUUCGUCUUGCGGGGCACCACUGUAUCUCCCACGAAUCUUUCUUGGUAGCUGAAGACAAGUUAUAUGAACACAGAAUUUUAUGAUAUCAGUUGAAACAUGCUAGGGCUCUUGACCUGGAUGGGACCUUCUCUCUGCUACUUGGCUGCACUUUCCAUUACAUAAACCACCCAUAGAGAGGAGCAGAGAGGGUCCUGUCCAGGAAGCCAUGGGCUCAAGCUGCAGAGAACCCCCAAAGUCACUUGUGCAUGCCUGACAUAUCCAGGGCAUUUGGGCAUUUUGAGCACUGCAGCUUUCAUUAUGUUUGGAUGAGCCAGACAUGCACAGGAGUCUCCAAUGCCUCUCUAGAGCACAUGCCCCUCCUCGUCUGGUAAGUAAUGCAGAGUAGAGAUUGGUAGAGAAAGUCCUAUCCAAAUUGGGAAGGGCAGUUUACAGGGAAGCGUCUAGCCUUUGACAUAUUCCCACUGACAUAAUUAGGCCUUCUUGGCACAGAAUUGAUUUCUUUUAAAAAGUGAUUAAUUUUGACCAUCCUACAUUUUAAUGGAUCUAUUAUCAUUGGUCACAGGGAAACCAUCUAUUGCCAAUUAAUCCAUUAUUUCAGCUCAUUAAUCCAGAAUUACAAUUUAUUCCAUACUUGGGCCACUAAUCACUUUGCCUAUAAGCAGGCAUUUAAAGACUAACCCCCCUCCCUGUUUUACCAUUGCACUUGUAAAUGCAACAACUUACUUUUUAAAACUGCUAAGGGGAAAAUAAUUUAUGGCACCUGAAACUUUGUGUGUAUUUUGCAAAGCAUGAAGGAACCAAGCCAUUAAAGGUCUUAUAGAUUUUCUCUUGUUUUUCAAAACCAAACCUUGAGUUAUGACUUGGGGGAAAUGGGGAACCAUUACCUAAUGAAUCUAGACUUUGAAAAAUAUUAUUCCCUUGUAGUUUUAUUUUGCUUGAAUAGGUCUCAUAUAGUGAUGUACAUUGAGCAGGUUUGUAACGGACUGCAGGGGGAAUAGAAAUGUAAGUUUUGUAGUUAAAAAAGCAUGCACACAUCAGAAGUGCAUUAUAUCUAGUCAAUUUUGUUGAAUCUUUCUCAUUGUGGCAUGCUGUUUAAAAAAUGAUCUAGGGCUCUCAGAAAUAUUACCAAAAGGAGAAAUCAAAUUUUGAAAUACAAGUCAGGGUUCAAAGAGCUGUGAACCAAGGGUAGCUUUGGCUAAGUGGAAAUUCAAAACUGAGAGUUGCUGGUUUCCCCCCAAAACUAGCUUGCAAUGUGGUAUGUGAGCUGACUGUGUACAUGAAGAAGUCAAAAGAAUUCUGGCAUAAUUCUGGCAAAAUUCUCAAGCUCUUUGCUUGAGCCUCUUUGGUUCCUGUCCUCUGAGACCAAUGAAGGCAAAUUUGGUGAAGUUAAUGAGGGAGAACUUCAUUGAAGCAGUUCAUUGUCAAUGUUUGUUCAAAAAUUGGCACUGCUUGUAUGCUGUGAGAGCAAAGGAGUAAAGUGGCAUUGUAAACAUUUGAUCAGUGAUGAUAGUUGUGUUUAUAUUUCUUAAAUUAAAAACACAAGACUGCACGCACACAAUAAAAAUCACCCUUAAUCUUCAUGAAAUUUGUGGAGUUCAAAGCUUCCCACUGACACACUUUUCAUUGCAAAAUUCACACAUAAUUUUGUGUACAGGGUAGUCCUUCUUGGGUGUUGUUACAAAUUGUCCCUCACAAUGCUCCCAAAUUUCAAUCAGCUGCCACUUGCUAUUUUUCUUAUGGAAACAAAAAAAUCACUUGUAGCCUUAAAUGUCCUAGAAAUGCAUUGAAUUUUGCUAUUGGGUUGUGUCUACUACCCUAGUCAAUCGUAGGAAAUAAGGGUAGUAAAAUGCAUCAUCAUUUUUAAAUAGACGAAUGGUUUGGGAAUGGUCAAGAAAGUUUUUUAGCUGUCAGUAGGUUGCCACAAACCACCAAGGACAGCUUUCUUGCAGGUUUCUUAAUGAGGUAAGAAAAACAUCUCACAAAACGUUAAUUUUAGUGAAUGUUAGGUAUCAUUAGUUCUCAGCUGUAACAAAGUGUUUUCUAGACAGUUUACAACAGGCAUAGGCAAACUUGGCCCUCCAGAUGUUUUGGGGAUACAACUCCCAUCAUCCAUGACCACUGGUCCUGUUAGCUAGGGAUAAUGGGAGUUGCAGUCCCAAAACAUCUGGAGGGCCGAGGUUGCCUGUGCCUGGUUUACAAUAUUUUCAGGACAUUCUUUAGUUUAAAAGUUUUUGUUGUUUGUAACUGAAAAUGAGCCGCCAUAUAGUGGAAAUCUCAUUGGGGUUGAGAGUCCACCAUCUCCUGUGAGAUAGGUUAGGCUGAGAGGCUGUGACUGGCCCAAGGUCACCCAGUGAGUUUUCUGGCUGAGCAGGAAUUCAAACGUUGGUCUCCCAGGUCCUAGACCAACACUCUAACAACUAAUUGCACCUUACUAGCUUCCUUUGUGCAUCCCAUUGUUUUCUGUUUAUUUCCAUGACACUUUCCAAACUUCAGGAAGUCUGAUUCUUUUCCAAAGUAGAUUUGUGCUGCUAGGUGAGGGCAACAGAACCUUUAAUGCAGUUUAACUGGGCAAAUGGAAAGUUCCAGUAUGUGCAAGAAUACCUCCUGUGAAAUACUGACCAUCUGGAGUCACCCUCCCUGAAUUCAUUAAGAGGCAGUCAGUGAGGAUUUUCCAUCAAACACAGUAACAUAACACAAAUUAAAAAGGGGCAAAAGUUGAGCGCCAUGGGGGGAAAGUUUCAGAAGACAGAAAAGCCUGGGGCACUGUCUAAGACCAACCUAGAGGUUAUAAUAUAAAGGAUGAUGGAUGGGAAAGUUUGCAUCAAAAACAAAACAAAAAAUUAAGCAGGCAGCGUGUACCUGUGUGUCCUUAGUUGUUUUAUUGUACUGUAGUGUCAGUAACCCAUUAUGACAGAGGAGUACAUGUGGUCCCAUUGAUUGUUAACUGUCCUUGGGUAUGGAAGGUCACAGCUCAGCCCCACCACUGUUGACUCAAUGUGUGACCCUGGCCAAAUCACCCAUUCAAUCUUGGUUUCCACUUCUGUAAAAUGAGCAGGUCAGAGGCUGAAUGAGGGGAACGUAGCCUCAUCCUACCCCUUUUCUGGCAAUUCAGUUUCAGUUUAUUUGUUGGAAGAAAGGAGAGUCCUCCAGAGAGACGAUGGAACUGUCUUUGCGGAUCACCACCUUGGAGCUUCAUUUUCCAUGGCCACCCUCACACUGUGAAUAUUGGUGACAUACUAUGCGGGGCUAUUGUGAUGGACAAUACACUUCACACAUCGAAAGUAUUAUAAAAGAUAUGCAGCAGUAUUUGAGACUGUUGUUAGCUGAGAAAUAGAAGCAAAAGUAAGUACCAUUGACUUCCAUAGCUUUCAACAGGAGAAACUGAAACACGUGUUUAACAUUCCCAUUGAGUAAUGGGGUUCAGAGUCACUUAACAGCAACUGAAUCAUGUCCAUAGUCUUCCGGUUAUGUAAUGAAGAGCUGUGUCUUUAACAUCAUUAAAAUAAAUAAGCAAAUAAAUUGAAUGUCACAUCCUUCCCACAAUAAUUCUACAGCAGGAGGUUUUCCCCAGGGGAUGCAAAUUUUUGCUGCAAUUGUCUUUUACAAGGGACGGGGUGUACAGCCUGGGGGUGAGGAUCAUAGCUGGCGGCAGGAACUAUUAGCCGCUGGCUGCAUCUGCCUAUCCUAGUCUUAAUGCCGUACUUUAUUGGUACAUAACCACUGAUAACCAUCAGCACCCACAAGGCGUGUGUAUAACUUCGUGAAUCUACUUUUGCUAUAUUAAUCAGAAAACAACAUAAGAAGUAACUUUCUAGGAAACUGAGAAAUUAUAUGUCAUGAAGUAUGAAUGGGACGUGGGUGACGCUGUGGGUAAAACCUCAGCACCUAGGACUUGCCGAUCGCAUGGUCGGCGGUUCGAAUCCCCGCGGCGGGGUGCGCUCUGGUCGUUCGGUCCCAGCGCCUGCCAACCUAGCAGUUCGAAAGCACCCCUAGGUGCAAGGAGAUAAAUAGGUACCGCUUACCAGCGGGAAGGUAAAUGGCGUUCCAUGUGUGCUGCGCUGGCUCGCCAGAUGCAGCUUGUCACGCUGGCCACGUGACCUGGAAGUGUCUGCGGACAGCACUGGCUCCCGGCCUAUAGAGUGAGAUGAGCGCACAACCAUAGAGUCCGUCAAGACUGGCCCGUACGGGCAGGGGUACCUUUACCUUUACCUAUAGAAGAUCUACUAACAUGAGAUGUUAUACUGGAAUGUGAGGACCAAACUAGCAAUUGUGUGAAUUGGUUUUUAAAGUAAGGGGGGGUGUAUUGAUCUGCAUUGGGACCACCAUGGGGGUAAAGGGUUAAAAUCCCCCCACCCCCACCACUUGCACACCUGCUAGGGUCCAAAUCCACAUCAAAUAUCUGGCCAUGUGAUCAUUUCAAUAAGGAAUCAUGGAGCCAGCAUGCUAUGUAACAACCUCAUAAAACCAAAUCAAAGUAAGGGCAUCCUGUUCUUCAGCUAAGUAGGAGAGCAUCUCUGACUUGUUUUACAAUACAUACCCCCUCCAAUUAUUGCUGAAAAAGGAGGCAUAUUUUGCAGAGAACAUUGCAAAUGUGGGGCCCGAUAUUUCGGCUCAGUCCUGGAGUUAAGCUUGUGUUUAAAUCUCUUCCAUUGAAGUUGGUGGGGUGUAAAAGCACUGAUAUUUGACAAGGAAAAGACCCUGUAGGCUUUGCCCCAGACACUUUGAACCCAAGCAUCUAGCUGUGCAAACUGGCUGACAUUCGAUAGGGUCCUACUGGUUUCAACAAAGACAAGGAUUUGGAUCUCCUAAUUUUCUAAACUAUAUCCUGUCGGUGAACAUUGCUAAUGUAUAAAGGAGCGAGUGACUCAUCAGUGUAAUGAACUAUGAACACACACAUUGCUAUUUUUUGGUAACUGAGUAUGUUAGGCUAUGAGAAUAGAGCAACUCUAUAAAGGGCAUCAGAUGGAAAAGCAAAAUAUCCUGAUAUGAGGCUUUAGAAAACUGAAUCCGACAAACAGAGGGGCCUCACCCAGUAGCAAGGUGAGCAAAUACAGGGCAAUUUAUCUUCAAGUGCAUUAAGAAUCUUUUGCAGCAAACGUUUGCUGAAGGCCAGAUCACUGCACAAAGCAGUACAGCGAGAAGCCAGGAGUGAUUAGAAAGUGGGAAGCUCACAGCCUCACCCAGAAUACUCACCUCUUAAUCACAUUAUCAGCAAAGGAGGGCUUUUCCUCAUUGUUAGAGACCGUGGAAUCACAGGGUUUUAGCUUCUCUGUAAGGUCAAAGAAUGAGUCACUCCGCUAACACAAUGCAGAGAAUAAAUUUCAUUGCUGCACACAAUGGGGGACAACAAUGUAGACUGGGGAUAGCCAGCUUCUAUAGUCUCAGAGUGAUGCCAUUUUCUAGCCAAUGUUCUGGGAAAUGGAUGGUGUGCUUUGCUGUGCAGUCCAACUGCCUCUGGUUGAACAAUAAAGGGAUUGCCACAUAUAUCUAUUUAAUUUAUUUAUUUAGAAAGAUUGAGGAAGCAAUCCCAAACCUCUCACAAGGGUGUACAUAAUUGUAGAUGAAACACAGCUAAAACCACAAAACUAUUAAAAAACAAAUACAGUAGUACCUCAGGUUAAGAACUUAAUUCGUUCUGGAGGUCCGUUCUUAACCUGAAACUGUUCUUAACCUGAACCACCACUUUAGCUAAUGGUGCCUCCUGCUGCCUCCUGCUGCCGCUGCUGCGCGAUUUCUGUUCUCAUCCUGAAGCAAAGUUCUUAACCCGAGGUACUAUUUCUGGGUUAGCGGAGUCUGUAACCUAAAGCGUCUGUAACCUGAAGUGUCUGCAACCCGAGGUACCACUGUAUACAUUAAAUAAUUCUCAAUAAAACACAGAUAAAAAUCAGUAUUGCAAUUAUUUCUAAACACACACUAAUGUGAGUAACUGCAUUAUUUGAUUAGUUAGGCUUGCUGAAUUUUUUUAUUUUUAUUUUUUUAAUCAGCAAUAUUUAAAAAAAUAUUGAGGGUGCCUGCCUAAUGUCAACAGCAGUAAGUGUUUCACAAUUGUGGGGCACAAUUAUAUAAUUAAGGCAACAUCAUUUAUGUGUACAGAGCCUGAUGAAUGUGUGUGCUUCCUAUGAGAGUUCCCUCUAGUGGCAGAUUAGCAGUGACCCAUUGCCUUUCUGUGCAACCUGUAUGGAAAGCAAAUUAUAUCCCAUUGUUUCUUCCACAAACGAUUGUCCAGAGCUUUUUUACCCACUCCUAAGAGUGAUGUGGGUGGCGCUGUGGUCUAAACCACUGAGCCUCUUGGGUUUGCUGAUCAGAAGGUCGGCGGUUCGAAUCCCCACAACGGGGUGAGCUCCCAUUGUUCAGUCCCUGCUCCUGCCAACCUAGCAGUUCGAAAGCAAGUCAGAGUGCAAGGAGAUAAAUAGGUACCACUCCGACGGGAAGGUAAACGGCAUUUCUGUGCACUGCUCUGGUUCGCCAGCAGCGGCUUAGUCAUUCUGGCCACAUGACCCGGAAAAACUGUCUGCAGAAGCGGACAAAUGCCGGCUCCCUUGGUCUGUAGAGCGAGAUGAGCGCUGCAACCCCAGAGUCGUCCACGACUGGACUUAUAAAAGGUAAAGGACCGCUGACAGUUAAGAGUGAAAUUAAAGUGUGGAGCAUCUCCCAGUUUUGGGAUGCAAAAUUAUUUUCCUUGCUACUGAAACUCUGAGCAAUCUUCUUUUAAAAAAAACAACUAAAGUUGAUUAAAACUUGGUGUGACACAGUUGUUUGGUGGGGGGUAGGCGUGGAUCUGGCCCACUGCGUGUCAGCUUGCCAUUUCUGAUCUGGACAAUGUUCUUUAAUAUGUUCACCAGGCUCCACAUGACCACAUGGAGAUUAUGAGGAGGCAUUGGUUCUAGCAGCAUCUCCAUAUGAAAGCUACUGGCACACCAGUUGCAAUUCAAGUGAUCAUGGCAACCUUUCUGCAGCUGCCAGGAUCCUUGCAACACCUUUGUGUCCACUCUUCAUAUGGAGACAUUGGUUCAUAUAUGCAGUGCCUGCUCCAAGCAGUCUCAGGCAGGUUGCAAAUCCAUUAGCAGCAGUGCAAUCUUAAAUUUCACCCUCUGUUUCCCCUAAGAAUAGAGUUUCAUCUUCAGAUGGUGCAUAAUCCUCUUCCUUCAGCUUAGGAUCUCAUGUCACACAAGAGAAUGGGUAGGCAAACUAAGGCCCGGGGGUCGGAUCCGGCCCAAUCACCUUCUAAAUCCGGCCCGCAGACUGUCAGGGAAUCAGCAUGUUUUUACAUGAGUAGAAUGUGUGCUUUUAUUUAAAAUGCAUCUCUGGGUUAUUCGUGGGGCAUAGGAAUUCGUUCAUUCCCCCCACCCCAAAAAUAGCCUGGGCCCCCCACAAGGUCUAAGGGACAGUGGACCAGCCCCCUGCUGAAAAAGUUUGCUGACCCCUGCACAAGAGGGACAUACAGAAAAAUGUCUGCCCUUAGCCAGUGAAUGAAGGACACAGAUAAUUGUUAGAAAGCUUCAAGUCGGGCAAAACUUCUCUUUUAUGAUCAAAGUACUUCUUCUGAACUUUUUAAAAAAGAGGGCAGAUUAUGCCUACUUUUUAAAAAGAUGAAAGAUAACUUGGGCUGGAGAACCUUUGGCCCUCCAGAUUUUUUUUUGGACUACAAUUCCCACCAGGUCCAGCCAUCAUGGCCAAUAGGCACUAUGGGAAUUGCAGUGUAGCGACAUCUGGAAGGCCUAAGGUUCCCCAGCCCUGGUCUAACAAUCAUUAAAGUAGCUCUGCCUUUAAAGUGAAGCAGAUUUAAUCUUAGUUACCUUCCUGGGAUUCUGCCUUGGAAUUUUCUUGUGUUGUUCACACCAGAACUCCUUGUGGGGAGUCUAUAAUGAACAACCAGUGUAUAAUAAGCAAAUAAAGUAAAUAUUUUAGUUAGGAGUAGUACUAAACUGGUUGACCCCUUUUCUAUGUAUAACCAUGAACAUGAUAUACUUUAUAGCACUCCCCAAAAGGUUGGAUUGUGAAAAUGGGUAAGUAUCUGCAUUUAGAAGGGAACAGGGUUAUUAGUAGUUCAUGAGUUCCCCCUUCCUGCCUCACAGCCGGAAAUUAGAACUACUUAAACCUCUUUGGUUAAGAAUAUGCUCUGCAAUGAUCCAUAUUUAAAGUGAAGAGAAUUCAGAUAACUUUUUAAGAAUCUUGAAGGUCCUGUUUUAUCAUUGCAUCAAAUGUUUGCUCACCAUUUCCUAGACUGAAAACAGGAAUUUCUAGAACUAGGCCGUUGAGGUAAUCAAAAGAGUUCAAAAGAUAAAUUUCAGCGUGAGAGAAUUACCUGGAUAGGUUCCAGCCAUGGGGCUGAUUGAUUAUUAUUAUUAUUAUUAUUAAUAGCAAAACACAUUAGCAAAUAUUUAAACAUUUGGAUCUCUGCCCAGCACCAGAAAAAUUUCCGAUCGGAAACCAACUGUCUGUUAGUUAGAUAAAAGGCCAGAGUGAAGAGUUAAGUCAUGUGAGCUAGAAGGUGGAAGUAAAGCUGCAGCCUGGAAAGGCAGAGAGAGAGAGCCAUGCCUAAUUUCUGCUGGAAUCCAAGGCUGUGGCUAUGGGGGACGUCUUGGGCUGUGAACCUGUCCAUCACAGGCCACAGCUGUCAACUUUCAGAUUUGAAAAUAAGGGAUCAGCAGCCUCACCUGUCCUGGUGACAGUCUACGGGAUAUCUAACAAUCUGGGAUAGCAGCGGGAAGCAGCGGGAAACGGAGCUGGAAUAAGGGAAUUUCCCGCAAAAAAGGGGAAUGUUGACAGCUAUGUCACAGGCUCAGGUUGUAUAUAUGUGUAAAUAAGCCAUCGCUAAAAACACCACAGUCUCUGCUGUGCCUCAUCCCAAAGGAAACACAAACCCAGGAACACCUGGAAUUUUGCACCGCUCAGAGACUGGGGUGAUGCACAACAAUACAUUAUCACCAAGUUUCCUUACAAUGAGUUGCAAUCCAUUGCCAGGUCCCAGUCUUUUAAAACUUCAGUGUUCAGUACAUAACGUGCUGCCUAACUACAUAUAAAAUUACAACCUACAAACAUGACAAUAGCAAUUGUGAAACAUGAUAUCUUAGAACAGAAAGUAGGUGUAAAAACUAGAUGUAUUUAAAAACAAAGCUACCCGGUGCAGCUCUCCGUUGCAAGAGGAAAGUCUUUUUGUACUCCACUAAGAAAGAACAAUGUACAAAAAAUUCCUCAUUUGAAAUGCAUUUGGGCCUCUUAUGUUCUGUCAUCAGCCAGAUAGGACAAGGUCUGCAGGAGAACUGAUACUUCUAGUACUAUUUACUCAGGUUUGCAAGAAAAUAAUUUCAGUGUCAGUUGGCACUUUGAUAACAUUUAACUGGCCGUUAUCAAAUGAGAAGGAGCAUUUCCAAAAAUGGCAGCAGUAUAGAAUUUGUACUAAUGUAGCAGCUUUGAGUUCCAGGGCAGUGGACACUUCUCAAAAACCCAUUUUGUUGGUAGCUGUUCAUUAUUUUUAUUUAACAAUCUAAUAUUUGUUCAUUUAUAUAAAUUCCUCUCUUAUACUUCAUUCAUACAUUUUUCCAUUUUCAUGUUUCACUCAUUGCUUGCAUACUUUCAUCAUUUCUGGCCUUUGAUUUAAAUAAAUCUUUCCAAUUUGUUUUAUUUUUCAUCUGUCUCUGAUUCAUUUCUGAUUACCGCUACUAGUUCACUGGAGCAAGCUUACUGGAGAAAAAUGGGAGAAUCUAUUUUCAAAUGACUUCUAUAAGCACAUUUAUUUAUUUAUUUUGCACACUCCAGCUAGUGAAUGGGCAUGAUGUGCAUCUGAACGAGCAUUCUGUUGAAAGAAAAGGAUGGCAUCUGGAAAAGUGCCUCUGAGAUGUGCAUCAAAUAGAAUUUAAUGGUGAGUUUCCAUAUUUUUAUGUGCAUUCAAAUGCACAUUCCGAUGUUCAUCUGAUUUACUACUGCAGUUCCUAAAAUAAAUGUUAACCAAGACACACUGUGGUAUUUCCAGAAAAAAUGAUUGAAAUAACCAUUGGUUGGUUGCAGCCCACCUUUCACCAAAUGGUCCAAGGGUGGCAUACCAAAACACCAUAAGUAAGUGCAAUGUACAAUUACAAUCAUAAAAUUAAACCACAAAACCUACCAAUUUCAGAAUAAUGAAACAGGAGCACAGAUCUCCAGGGCACAGCAAAGCAGAAUAAUCACAGAUAUCUACUCAGCUGAGGGCCUGGGGCAAAGAGGUACCCCUUUCCAAGGAUCCAAGCUUUCACUCAACUCAGUGUGCCAUUUAUUUGCACCCAACAUUUUGUGCUCCAUUAUUCAGCGAUGACGUACUGCUAGUUUUACUGAUGUGAUGGAAACCCAUGCUAAAAUGCAUGACAAUGCAAUCUAUGAAAGACAACUGGGGGGGGGUGAAAGGGAGGCGCUGAAGUCUGCUGUAAAUCUGAUCAUAAGAACCCAAGCUGUUAGAGAGGCACCAGAAAAAUGAAAUCAAAGACAAACUUUCAUAGGUAGCUGUGUACUUUAUUUGGGAACUUCUCCAUUAACCCUUCAGUGUAUAGUGCAAACAUUUUCUCUCCACUGAACAAUCAGAUGACCACUUUGCUAUACAUGAAACUGCAACACCUGCCCACUCAGUUUUCAAUCUACUGUAUGUAUGAAAUUCAGUCCUGAAGCUGGAGCCUAUCUCUUUUCCUAAUGUAUUAUUAUUAUUAUUAUUAUUAUUAUUAUUAUUUUCUUUUUCUACUAGCCUGGCUUUAUUUCCUUUGUUUAAAUCUACCAGUCAUCUUUAGAAUCCUUGCAAGCCACAUAUGUCAAUCACAACAUUUCUCUGAACAUGCGGGUAUCAGUUUAUGUAUUUUUGUUGAACAAUGAUAUGUUGUUUUAUCUUUUAUAAUCUUUACACUGUCGUUUCUCCCUUUUCUAAUAAUAAAAAAAUGAAGUCCCAUGUUCAGGUCAUAGAAAAGUAAGUAAUAUGGGCAACAGUAUUGCACUUCAGUCAGUGACCCCAUGUUGGGUCCAUCAAUCUCAGUUUAGGCUGGGCAUUUUUACCUCAUGCCAGCCUAUUUCUAAAGCCGUCUGUAUUUAAUUUACCGCUCCUCCCUCAGUUAAAGGGUUAUUGUGUUGGCCUCAGUCACUGAAAUAUCAGUGGACUGGACUUUUCAUGAAGAAAAAUGGUUGUUCAUGACAGGUUGUUUAUGAGGUUUGCUUGAUUCAUUGAUCUAGAUCAUGUCCACAUCUAUGUUCACAGAGGAAUUUUCCCUAGAAACUAUGGAGAGAUGUUACCAGCGGAUGACUGAAUAAAAAUAUCACAUAUAAUUCUUCCUGAAUAAGCACCUCAGAAUGCAAAUUUAGCAGAGUAAGUAAAUAUUUUGUGGGGUACAUACACAAAGCAGGACUGGCUUUAACAUUAGGCUGAGGGAGAUAACUGGCUCAGGAAGCAGAUGCUGGAGAAUGGGUAGCACUGGCAGGAUGUUAGAGGACAGAGUUCCAUGUGCCAUGUGACCCAGUCCAAACCCAACCCCCAAGCUAGCCUACUGUCUCCACAUGCAGUAGAGGCAGGGUGGGGCAGUAGUACUUACCUGACUUCCUAUCACCAGCAUUGCUAUGACAUACUGGGAGAAGGAGAUGGGUAUUGGCAAGGUCAGCAUGGUGCAAAUGCACUGGCAGAUAACCAGGUUAUUAAGAGACUUGUCCCACGGUGAUGGAUUGCAGCCUUAAAUGUUUAGGUUUAGGUUUUAGCAGUAAUUUAAAAAGCCAAAUAAACUUUCUCAGCAUCAUUUCCAGGAAAAGGUGAGCAUGGUGGAUUAAAUGGAAAGUCUGAACUCAGAAUAGCAUUGUGAAAAGCAUAGGAGUUUUUUAUUGGAUUCUUUUCUCUGCGUCAUUGGUCAUUCAUUUAACAAUAAAUCAAGAGGAGAUCCAGUGAUCUGAUAUGUUCUGGGUGGCAGUUGUAAACACAGUUAUUAAAUCAGGCCAACCAGUAUCAAAAAAUUGAGAGGAAAAUGAUGGGACAGGGGACAACUGUGGAAUGACUAUGGGUGUUGAUAUAGAGCAGGUAGAACAGCCUCUUCAUGAGCUGUGAGAGAUAGAAGAAAACUUGGGAGUUUUCAAUGAUAAUCUGAUUGGCAUCCCUCUGUCUUGGUAGACAAUGGAGGAGUGCACCUUUGCAGAUGAAGUCAGAUGAUUGGAGAGUUACAGAGCCCGCUGUGGGUGUAGAGACAUGUUUUGUUGUGGCUGGGACAGAUGAAAGUGUCCAGUUGUGCUGCUGCAGAUACUCCAUAGGUUUACUCCUUCGCCUCUUCUCCUGAAGAUGUCCCACAAGACAGUGCGUAUGGAUUGUUCCUCAGGGUUUACUCCCAAAGCCUUUCUCACAAAUGAGUAUAGCCGCAAGGCAGCAGAGGUUUAGGAUCAGAGUUUUCCUUCUCCUUGAUGGGCUACCUUCCCAGGUUGACGAGCCCCACCUGCCCUUCAUUUCCCUUUACAGCAUGUGCAGAAACUGCCUUCUUGUAGAUGCACACACAAAUGUGUGCCUCUUCAAAGGAAAACACACAUAAAAACAACUGUACAAUAAAUACAACACCUAAAACCAGUAUAAGAAGAUGGCAGCAAUACUACAGUAAAAUCAAAAUCAAGUUUCAAAGAGAGAGAUUGUACUAUACAGUGGUACCUCGGGUGAAGUACUUAAUUCGUUCCGGAGGUCCGUUCUUAACCUGAAACUGUUCUUAACCUGAAGCACCACUUUAGCUAAUGGGGCCUCCUGCUGCUGCCGUGCUGUCAGAGCACAAUUUCUGUUCUCAUCCUGAAGCAAAGUUCUUAACCUGAAGCACUAUUUCUGGGUUAGCGGAGUCUGUAACCUGAAGCGUAUGUAACCUGAGGUACCACUGUAUAGGCUUUUCUUAUUUGCUGGAAUAGCAUCAUGGGUGCUUUGAACUGUUUGCUAGUACCCUUCUUGUGGUGCCUUUGCACUUGUGGUGGGUUGUUGAAUUGUUGUGUUGCCCUCUAAAUCUUGUGUUUGCAUUACCAGUGUGUGUUGCAAAUGAUUAAAGCCAACAAUUUGCAUGCCUCUCUUGUCUUCUCUUGAACUUCCUGCUUGAACUUCUGGGCAAUUCAUGAUUAACUUGUUGAUGGGGGGCGGGGGCGGGAGAGGUCUCUGCUGCUGCAAUGGUGCAAUCGAUGAAUUCCUCGCUAAUUGUGCUACUUUUCUUAAUGUUUGGUCACAUAUGACUUUUUUUUUUAAAAAAAGAUUUGCACUCCACCCAUCUUAAAAAGCUCUCUGCAGGUAAUAAUAAAUUAAAACAAUUAUCCAAAUGCUGUUAAAUGCCAACCAAAACACACAACACUGUCAGGAUGCUGUCAGCAGCUCCCAGUUGAUUGCCCAGGAAAGUAUAAAGACAAGGAAAAGUUUAUUACAGUCCUUUUUUAUUUCAAACUUUACAGUGAGAGGCUAUAGAACCCAGCCUCUUGGAUAAUGGUGGUGUCCUGAGUGAACCUCCACCCUCUUUUUCUCCCACUUUCUCAUUUGUCAUUAUCAUCAUCUUCUCUUCUAUGGGUGCUGCUAAGUGCCAUCUGUCUUUGAGCUCUUUGUUCUCCUACUUUUAAGGUUCACCGGUUUCUGGGAGAUGGUGGGUCUGGAAUGCUUUCUAUGUGUCAGCCAGCUGCUGCUCUGGCUCUGCCUGCUCCUCCUUUCCCAUGAUUCCCCAACUUUCCCCCUCAUCUGCCUCUGAGCUGUGACCUCCUGCAAACCACUGUUGUAAAUCUAUACUGUCUUCCUCUUCCUCCUCCCUGGAAGGGUUAGGAUGGGGAGGUGGUCUCCACCAUUCCUCCUCCUCUGCCCAGACCCUGACACACACAAAUUGCAGAGUGUACACUAACAUGAUCUCCAUUUUAUAUGUCAGAAGAAGAAAAGGAAAACAUAAAAUGUUUGCCUUUUUCCUUUGAAGUAAAAUAUUGAACUUAAUAUUAAAAAAAUCUGGAGAUGUUUAGAUUAGAAGUCUUUCCUGCAAACAAAUUUAAAGGUUCUCACCAACAUUUGGGAUGCAAAAUGUGAUGUUCAUUUGUUAACUUAGGUGCCGGAAUGAAAUUAGAUUUUUAGUUUAGAGGAGGGUUUUUUUUUAAUUAUUAUUAUUAAAAAAUGUUUUUUAAUGGCCACUUACUGUCCCUAUGUGAAUCUCUCCUGGAUGUUGUUUCUCAUUGUGAGUUCUUUGCUGCCUUUGUGUUCCACUUAUUUAGUACAGAAGAAAUCCUCCUUUCAAAGGGAUUAGCACAACUGUGGAAGCAUCAAAUCUCCAACCAAC
rnacentral:lncRNA from 1 species